rnacentral:lncRNA from 1 species
CCUGGCCAACAUGGUGAAACCCUGUCUCUACAAAAUACAAAAAUUAGCUGGGCAUGAUGGCGGGUGCCUGUAAUCCCAGCUACUCGGGAGGCUGAGGUGGGAGAAUCGCUCGAACCCAGGAGGUGGAGGUUGCAGUGAGCUGGGAUCGCACCGUCGCAUUCCAGCCUGGGCGACAGAGGAGACUCUCUCUCAAAAAAAAAAAAAAAAAAAAAAGAAAAGAAAAAGAAAAAAAGAAAGGAUAUUGGAGGUUGGAGGUGAAAAGUAACCUUUGUUACCAUCUGCGCUGGAGUUUGGCAUACUUCACAAGGGGCUUGCAACAAUCUGUUGAAGCGCUAUUAUUGCAUCUGUACUUGGGCAUUGACAGGUUGGUCUUACCCACUGGAUCCCAGUCAUGCUGUAAACGGGGCUUGCUUUGGUCUGUCAGACCCAGCUUAGACCCAGGCUCUGACAAAGUGGGUGAGUUAUGCAGCUAUUCAGUGGCAUCUAAUACCCUAUCCCAAAGGUCUGCUGUGAACAGGAAGGAGGCGUCAAAUUUGGCAGUGCCUGAUGAGGUGAAGCCGGGACCCAGGAACUUCUAUUCCCUCCCAUGCUCAGAAACAGCUAGGAAAAAUUAUUGCAAGCUUUAAUUGAAGAAGUGACAGUAGUCGCCACAGGAAAGAUCAGAAGAAGGACUUACGAUGACCUCGUUCCAGACCCAGCUCUGUGGAGGACUAAUUGCAGGACCAGAGGUGAAUGGUUUAACACAGCUUCCCUUCACAGCCCUUUUCCUCAAUGUA